GGGAUUACAGGUCGUAGUUAACACUGAAGACAUUGCAGCAUUCUGUAAAGACUGGACUGGUGUUUGAAUCCAAGAGUUCUCCCACCUGCGAGGCAAACACUCGACCACUGAGUUACAUCCCCAG